rnacentral:rRNA from 1 species
AAUUGNAAGGGACGGCGUGCAUGACACUGCAAGUACAACGGGAUUUUUUUCUGUAGCAAUACAGAGAAAAGUCUAGUGGCGAACGGGUGCGUAACACGUGAGCAACCUGCCGUGAAGUGGGGGAUAGCUCGCCGAAAGGCGAAUUAAUACCGCAUGUGGCCAAGGAAGACAUCUUCCCGACGCCAAAGCCGGGGUAACCUGGCGCUUCUCGAGGGGCUCGCGGCCUAUCAGCUUGUUGGUGAGGUAACGGCUCACCAAGGCUAUGACGGGUAGCUGGUCUGAGAGGACGACCAGCCACACUGGAACUGAGACACGGUCCAGACACCUACGGGUGGCAGCAGUCGAGAAUUUUUCACAAUGGGGGAAACCCUGAUGGAGCGACGCCGCGUGGAGGAUGAAGGUUUUCGGAUCGUAAACUCCUGUCAUUAGAGAACAAGGCACACGGUUUAACUGGCUGUGUGUUGAUAGUAUCUGAAGAGGAAGGGACGGCUAACUCUGUGCCAGCAGCCGCGGUAAUACAGAGGUCUCAAGCGUUGUUCGGAUUCAUUGGGCGUAAAGGGUGCGUAGGUGGCGAGGUAAGUCGGAUGUGAAAUCUCCAAGCUCAACUUGNAAACUGCAUUCGAUACUGCUUUGCUAGAGGAUUGUAGAGGGCAUUGGGAUUCACGGUGUAGCAGUGAAAUGCGUAGAUAUCGUGAGGAAGACCAGUGGCGAAGGCGAAAUGCCUGGGCAUUNCUGACACUGAAGCACGAAGCCAGGGGGAGCAACGGGAUUAGAUACCCCGUAGUCCUGG